rnacentral:rRNA from 1 species
GGCGCGAGCAGGUGCGAAAGCAGGUCAUAGUGAUCCGGUGGUUCUGAAUGGAAGGGCCAUCGCUCAACGGAUAAAAGGUACUCCGGGGAUAACAGGCUGAUACCGCCCAAGAGUUCAUAUCGACGGCGGUGUUUGGCACCUCGAUGUCGGCUCAUCACAUCCUGGGGCUGAAGUAGGUCCCAAGGGUAUGGCUGUUCGCCAUUUAAAGUGGUACGCGAGCUGGGUUUAGAACGUCGUGAGACAGUUCGGUCCCUAUCUGCCGUGGGCGCUGGAGAACUGAGGGGGGCUGCUCCUAGUACGAGAGGACCGGAGUGGACGCAUCACUGGUGUUCGGGUUGUCAUGCCAAUGGCACUGCCCGGUAGCUAAAUGCGGAAGAGAUAAGUGCUGAAAGCAUCUAAGCACGAAACUUGCCCCGAGAUGAGUUCUCCCUGACUCCUUGAGAGUCCUGAAGGAACGUUGAAGACGACGACGUUGAUAGGCCGGGUGUGUAAGCGCAGCGAUGCGUUGAGCUAACCGGUACUAAUGAACCGUGAGG